rnacentral:rRNA from 1 species
GACGAACGCUGGCGGCGUGCCUAAUACAUGCAAGUAGAACGCUGAAGAGAGGAGCUUGCUCUUCUUGGAUGAGUUGCGAACGGGUGAGUAACGCGUAGGUAACCUGCCUUGUAGCGGGGGAUAACUAUUGGAAACGAUAGCUAAUACCGCAUAACAAUGGAUGACACAUGUCAUUUAUUUGAAAGGGGCAAUUGCUCCACUACAAGAUGGACCUGCGUUGUAUUAGCUAGUAGGUGAGGUAACGGCUCACCUAGGCGACGAUACAUAGCCGACCUGAGAGGGUGAUCGGCCACACUGGGACUGAGACACGGCCCAGACUCCUACGGGAGGCAGCAGUAGGGAAUCUUCGGCAAUGGGGGCAACCCUGACCGAGCAACGCCGCGUGAGUGAAGAAGGUUUUCGGAUCGUAAAGCUCUGUUGUAAGUCAAGAACGAGUGUGAGAGUGGAAAGUUCACACUGUGACGGUAGCUUACCAGAAAGGGACGGCUAACUACGUGCCAGCAGCCGCGGUAAUACGUAGAUCCCGAGCGUUGUCCGGAUUUAUUGGGCGUNAAGCGAGCGCAGGCGGUUUGAUAAGUCUGAAGUUAAAGGCUGUGGCUCAACCAUAGUUCGCUUUGGAAACUGUCAAACUUGAGUGCAGAAGGGGAGAGUGGAAUUCCAUGUGUAGCGGUGAAAUGCGUAGAUAUAUGGAGGAACACCGGUGGCGAAAGCGGCUCUCUGGUCUGUAACUGACGCUGAGGCUCGAAAGCGUGGGGAGCGAACAGGAUUAGAUACCCUGGUAGUCCACGCCGUAAACGAUGAGUGCUAGGUGUUGGAUCCUUUCCGGGAUUCAGUGCCGCAGCUAACGCAUUAAGCACUCCGCCUGGGGAGUACGACCGCAAGGUUGAAACUCAAAGGAAUUGACGGGGGCCCGCACAAGCGGUGGAGCAUGUGGUUUAAUUCGAAGCAACGCGAAGAACCUUACCAGGUCUUGACAUCCCGAUGCUAUUUCUAGAGAUAGAAAGUUACUUCGGUACAUCGGUGACAGGUGGUGCAUGGUUGUCGUCAGCUCGUGUCGUGAGAUGUUGGGUUAAGUCCCGCAACGAGCGCAACCCCUAUUGUUAGUUGCCAUCAUUCAGUUGGGCACUCUAGCGAGACUGCCGGUAAUAAACCGGAGGAAGGUGGGGAUGACGUCAAAUCAUCAUGCCCCUUAUGACCUGGGCUACACACGUGCUACAAUGGUUGGUACAACGAGUUGCGAGUCGGUGACGGCAAGCUAAUCUCUUAAAGCCAAUCUCAGUUCGGAUUGUAGGCUGCAACUCGCCUACAUGAAGUCGGAAUCGCUAGUAAUCGCGGAUCAGCACGCCGCGGUGAAUACGUUCCCGGGCCU